GAUAAACGCUGGCGGCGUGCAUGAGACAUGCAAGUCGAACGGGUGACUCGGGCUUGCUCGAGUCACUAGUGGCGGACGGCUGAGUAACGCGUGGGUGACCUGUCCCGAAGUGGGGAAUAACUGCCCGAAAGGGUGGCUAAUACCGCAUGUGGUCACACGUUCGAUCGUGUGAGUAAAGCCGCAAGGCGCUUCGGGAGGGGCCUGCGUCCGAUUAGCUCGUUGGUGGGGUAACGGCUCACCAAGGCGACGAUCGGUAGGUGGUCUGAGAGGACGAUCACCCAGACUGGGACUGAGACACGGCCAGACUCCGUACGGGAGGCAGCAGUCGGGAAUUUUGCUCAAUGGGCGCAAGCCUGAAGCAGCAACGCCGCGUGAGGAUGAAGGCC
rnacentral:rRNA from 1 species